GAUGAACGCUGGCGGCGUGCCUAAUACAUGCAAGUCGAGCGAACAGACGAGGAGCUUGCUCCUCUGACGUUAGCGGCGGACGGGUGAGUAACACUUGGAUAACCUACCUUUAAGACUGGGAUAACUUCGGGAAACCGGAGCUAAUACCGGAUAAUAUAUUGAACCGCAUGGUUCAUUAGUGAAAGACGGUUUUGCUGUCACUUAUAGAUGGAUCCGCGCCGCAUUAGCUAGUUGGUAAGGUAACGGCUUACCAAGGCGACGAUGCGUAGCCGACCUGAGAGGGUGAUCGGCCACACUGGAACUGAGACACGGUCCAGACUCCUACGGGAGGCAGCAGUAGGGAAUCUUCCGCAAUGGGCGAAAGCCUGACGGAGCAACGCCGCGUGAGUGAUGAAGGUCUUCGGAUCGUAAAACUCUGUUAUUAGGGAAGAACAAAUGUGUAAGUAACUAUGCACGUCUUGACGGUACCUAAUCAGAAAGCCACGGCUAACUACGUG
rnacentral:rRNA from 1 species